GUGGGGAAUCUUGCGCAAUGGGCGAAAGCCUGACGCAGCCAUGCCGCGUGAAUGAUGAAGGUCUUAGGAUUGUAAAAUUCUUUCACCGGGGACGAUAAUGACGGUACCUGGAGAAGAAGCUCCGGCUAACUUCGUGCCAGCAGCCGCGGUAAUACGAAGGGGGCUAGCGUUGCUCGGAAUUACUGGGCGUAAAGGGCGCGUAGGCGGACAGCUUAGUCAGAGGUGAAAGCCCAGGGCUCAACCUUGGAAUUGCCUUUGAUACUGGCUGUCUUGAGUUUGGGAGAGGUGAGUGGAACUCCGAGUGUAGAGGUGAAAUUCGUAGAUAUUCGGAAGAACACCAGUGGCGAAGGCGACUCACUGGCCCAAUACUGACGCUGAGGCGCGAAAGCGUGGGGAGCAAACAGGAUUAGAUACCCCUGUAGUCC
rnacentral:rRNA from 1 species